CAAUUAAUCUCAAUCAAACUGCAGUUCGGUUAUUUUGAUUACGUAAAAAAUAACUAAUAAAUACUAGCUAAUUAACACAAUAAAACAUAACAAAACAAAAAAAAAAACAUGAUUUUAGAAGAUUUUUUAAAACGGAGUUAUCUGUUUUUGCAAAUAAACACACAAACAUAUUGUGUGUCAUAUUUCAGUUCAAUUCUUAUCAAAUAGUGUCAGUGCAGACAAGUCAAUAAUAUUGCUGAAUAUUAGGUGUCUUCAACUAAGCAAGACAAAAGGCAACAGUGACAAGGAACCCAAACAAGACCCGGCUCAGUCAGAAAACAGUCUCCUCUGGCCAAACAAAUGAACAUGGUGUGAUUAUUCCAGGCUGCAUCACAAGUCAGAUUGUGGAUUGAUAUCAUUCAGAAUAUUUCAUCCAACUUCUUCUGCUUGAAGAAACAUCACACUAGCAGGUGAAGCUGGUAAAAAGGGUCUGUGCAGAGGGCUUGUCUGGUUCUCGUAGUCUUUGCUGAGGAUCUGUGCUGGGGCCAUCUUCACAGGGGAUCUGUCAUCUAGCUGACAUGGUCUCCGCUGACAGUCAGGGAUGUGUUGUGGUUGCUCCUGGGUGCAGGUCCACCGUCUGGUCUGGAUACCAACUGGAUCAGCUGAUUACUGUAACCUAGGGAUAAGGGUGAGACAGUAUAUAAGUGACUAAUACAAGCAUUGAUGUUGUUCUUCUUACAAAUUAACAAGUACAUUAGAUAUUAUGGGAUGUGUUGCCAAGUGUUGCUGCUUACACUAAUUGGUGCAGCAUAAAGAUACUUUAAGGGAUUUGAAUUAUAGAAAUGUGAUAGUGUGUCAUGUUAAAGAGGUUAUGUUAAGGAAGGUUAAAGAGAUGGGACAUUUAAAUUCACAGAGUGUGUCUGCCUCCUGAAGUCCACCCUUUUGAUCUGCCAGCUAGAGCCACCUCUUCAUAGUCCCCUUGACCUCCAUUUCAGCAGCAUUAGCUUGAAAGUUUUUCCAAAUUACAGCCUUGAAAUAUAUGUAUAAAUAUAUAUUGUAAGGUAUAAUUAUUCAAUCUUAAGCAUUAGUUUUUUUCACAAUCAUUAGGACCAGACAAGUAAAGUAUGAUUUUAAUCACAUAUCACAAUUAAUCGGCAUAUAUACGCUUCAAAAGUUCUCAUUCACGUUAAAAACUGAACCUGCUCUAGUGCAGCACACAGAUUAGGCCUCCAUUCAAGAACAAAAGAUGAUACACUUACAUUUUACGGCUUUCUCUUACGUAUCUAUAGUAAGUAAGUAAGUAAGUAAGUAAUAUUUAUUUCUAUAGCACCUUUCAACCGCAAGUGUCACAAAGUGCUGUACAACAAAAAUAUACAAUGAAGAACAAAAUUAGACAAAAGUAAGUUUGAACAAGUGAGUUUUCAGCUGCUUUUUAAAAAUGUCCACCGAGUCCACAGAUCUCAGUUCCAGAGGAAGAGCAUUCCACAACUUGGGAGCAACUACUUCAAAUGCACAGUCUCUUUUUGUCUUCAAUCUAGACCGUAACAACUAGCAGGAUCUGAUUUGAGGAUCUCAGAUUCCUACUAGAGUUAUAGGGUUUCAACAUCUUAUUUAUAUACACAGGGUCUUGACCAUGCAACGCUCUAAACACCAUGACAAGAAUUUUAAAAUUAAUUCUAAAUUCGACAGGGAGCCAAUGUAAAGAAAUUAAAAUUGGGGUUACGUGAGAUCUCUUUGAUGACUUAGUUAAAAGCUUAGCAGCAGAAUUUUGAACCACUUGUAAACGUUUGAGUGUUGAAUUACUAAGACAGGUAAAAAGAGAGUUGCAGUAAUCAGGGCGGGAGGAAAUAAAAGCAUGUAUAAUCAUUUCCAACUCCACUAUAGACACAACUGGCCUCAAUUUUGCAAUGUUUCUCAACUGAUAAAAACAAUUUCGAACCAAAUAAUUCACAUGUUGAUCAAGACUGAAGGCUUGCCCCAUAUGAACACCUAAAUUACAAAGGGUAGAUUUAACAGAAUGUGAUAAAGAACCAAGACUUUCCAUCACUUUUGGAAGAACACCAACAGGAGCUGAGAUAAGUACUUCAGUUUUUUCAGGAUUUAACUGUAAAUAAUUAUUUGUCUUCCAGACUUUAAUAGAAUUUAUACAAUUUAAAAGAGUAGACAAUUUUGUAAUUUUGUAAAUUUAAAUAUAUAGUUGAAUAUCAUCUGCAUAGCAAUGAUAGUGAAUGCUUUCAAAACUACUUAUCAGUUUCCCCAGAGGCAGCAAAUACAAAGCAAAAAGCAAUGGGGCCAAAACAGAACCCUGGGGAACACCACAGGACUGUAGAUGAAGUGUAAUUUUGAACUCUUACUGAGAAAGACCGGUCUGAUAAGUAUGAUGAAAGCCAACUCAAGGCUGUACCCGAGAAACCAACCUCCUGUCUAAGCCUCUCAACUAAUAUACAGUGAUCAACUGUAUCAAAAGCAGCAGUGAGAUCCAGUAAAACCAGUAAAGAACAUUUUCCUGCAUAGCCUUGCAUUAACAAAUCAUUUAAAACUCUAAGAAGAGCAGUUUCAGUUGAGUGCAUACGACGAAAACCUGAUUGGAAUUUAUCAAACACAUUAUAACCAUCUAAAACAGCUGAAAGCUGAUUUACCACAACUUUUUCCAGGACCUUAGCCAUAAAAGAUAACUUAGAAAUAGGUCUAUAAUUUUGGGGUAAGGAUGGAUCAAGAUUUAUUUUCUUUAGAAUAGGUUGAACCACAGCUUGUUUAAAAUAACCUGGAACUUGACCAGAUGUUAAUAAAUUAUUAAUUAUAGAUAACACACAAGGACCAAUCGUGUCAAUAACAUUUUUAAACAAGACAGUGGGUACCACAUCCAGAGGACAAGAAGAACUUUUCAUAGAACUAACUACCUUAGUAAGAUCAUCAAUUGUUAUCAGAGGAAACUUCUUCAGGGUUACUGGCCUGGAGACAUGAGGUAUUUGAAGUGAAGCAGAAGGUAUAAUAUUAUUUCGUAUAUUUUUUAUCUUAUCCACAAAAAAAAUGGAGAAAAUUAUUGCACUCUUCAACUGAAGAGAUUCGAGAUGCCGGCGAUGGAGGCGAAACAAUGUUAUGUAUAGUGUCAAAUAAAAUUUUGGGAUUAUGUCUGCUGCUAGAUAUUAAAUUAGAAAAAUACUUAAUUCUGGCAUCCUUAACCUUGUUAUUAAAAUCCAUUAAAAGUUAUUUUAAAUGCUGAUAGUGAACUACUAGUCGAGUAGAUUUCCACAGACGCUCAGUUUUACGACAAAUACGUUUAAAGGAGCAAAUACUAUCAUUGAUCCAGGGAGUGGAAUUUGGCAGACGAGCUGCUCUGGACUUCACAGGAGCAACUUCAUCCAAGACUAAAAGGCAAUGCUCAUUAAAAGAUUGUAUUUGAACAUCAACUCUACCAUUUGACAAAUUAAUGGACGAAUUAUCAAAAGCAGCAGAGAAUUUCUCUGCAGAAAGGUUAUUCAGGAUGCGAGAAUCAAUUUCUCGACUACAAAACGGUGCAUCUAAAUUACAAAAUAAGUCAAAUGAGAUGCAAUUAUGAUCUGAAAUAAAAAUAUCUUCAGACAAAACAGAACCAAUAUUUAAACCAUAACUGAAAACAAGAUCUAAAGUAUGCCUUCUAAUAUGAGUAGGACCGGUAACAUGUUGGAUAAGAUUAAAAGACAACUGCAAAUUUAUCAGAAACAUCAUCAAUAUGAAUGUUGAAGUCACCAACGAUCACAAUUUUAGUAAGCUUAAGAAUAGAUGACAAAAAAAAUCACUAAAAUCAUCUAGGAAGGAGCAGUUUGGGCCAGGAGGACGAUAAAUUAGAAUACAAUAAAAGUGAUCUGUACGCCCAACUUGAAUCACUUGCACUUCAAAAGAGAAAAAAAGACCCAACAUUUACCAUCCGAGAAAAAAAAAACAGUUUCUGAACACAGCAGCAACCCAGUCAGCAAACAAAUUUGGCCCAGAUUUGGCAUGCAUCAGAGAUGGUACCGGGUUUAAGACGGCACACAAGACAUGGGCCAGAUGUCAAAUGCAGUAUUUGGCCCAGAUGUCAAAUACAGAUAUGUGGGCCACAUAAGUAUUGCCGAUCUUGACCCACAUUUAAAAUCCAUUUCAAAUAUUUUUGAGUAAAAUGCCAAUGUUUUCCCAUACAGAAAGGUAAUAUAUUCACAUAUAUGUGAAACACUUUUAAAAAUAUUUUGAAAAUAUAUAUUUUAAAAUGCAUAACAUAAAGCUCAUGUUGUGAGCUAUUAUGUGUUUACUUGUAUGCAAAAUUAUAUUCAUGCCUCAUAUGAUAUUAUAUAUGAUAUUAUAUAGCAUAUUAUAGAAUAGUAUAUUCUGUUUAUAUAUAUAUAUAUAUAUAUUCAUCCGGCACUGGCAUACAGCAUGUGGGCCAAACAUGGCCCGGGUUUGGCAGAGGUGGUACUGGCCGGGUUUAAGACGGCACACAAGACAUAUGGGCCAGAUAUCAAAUGUAGAUAUGUGGGCCACAUAAGUAUUGCCGAUCUUGACCCACAUUUAAAAUCCAUUUCAAAUAUUUUUGACUAAAAUCCCAAAGUUUUCCCAUAUAGAAAGGUAAUAUAUUCACAUAUAUGUGAAACACUGUUAAAUAUAUUGAAAUACAUUUUGAAAAUAUAUUUUUAAAAUGCAUAACAUAAAGCUCAUAUUGUGUGUUUAAUUGUGUUUACAUGUGAAACGAUAUUCAUGCCUCAUAUGGUAUUAUAUGAUAUUAUAUGUUAUAUUAUAGAAUAGUUUAUCCUGUUGUUUUAUGUAUAUACAACUAACUUCAAACAAUGUUUUGCAUUCACUGCUUUCAUAUUCUCAUUCAAUUUACAGUUUGAUGUAGGCCUACUAAACAAUACAUGAUGAAGUUUCAGGACAUUUUAUUUGACUUUUAUGUACUAUUUAUGUAAAUGCGUAACAUUGAUGUGUUUUAGGCCAUGCUGGCCAAUCAGAAGCCUGAAAAAGUUUCCAGUAGGCGGAGAUAACAGCGCAGGCUCCGACGUCACAAGCCAAAAACUCUGGCUUUGCUGUCUACACGAUAACACUGCAACCAGAGUUUUUUAAAAUCUUCACCCUGGCAGGAGUUUUCAAAAUAUUCGGUUUCAGAAAUACUGCUGUUUUGAAAAUAACCGCGUUCGUGUGGACGGCCAAUGGGCGCGCGCGUUGAGCAUUCAAAUCACAUUUAAACUGAAGCGGAGGAGGUUACCAUGGUAACAGGGCAUCAACUCACUCAGCUGACAAGUAGCCAGAGGCUGUCUCUCUGCUGUUUUCACUGCUUUCAGGUAAGUUUAGUCCCUAAAGUUACACAAAUAAUACAUACAACCGUUCCUGACACUUUCUUACAUGUAACUGACAUGUUUCUGUUGAAUCUUUACUUUACAGGAGUGGUUUAGUGUCUUCAAAAAGACCGUUACCAUCACAACCGUUAACUAUAGAGGCUAACAAUUAGAGGAGCGUCAGAAAAAAAUACCUAAAACAAGGGAAGUUACAAGAACAUUUGUAAUGAGAGCUGCUGACAGAUACAGGAAACACAGAGCUAGAGCUGGAGCGGAGCGGAUCUCCUGUCGAAGAACAUCUCCAAAGCGCCAUGAACCAUCUGACUAGGCAGUUCGUGAAGACCGAUAACCUGGACAGAAGUCAGUUUGAGAUCCAGCCUCCACACCAGACUUCUCAUUCACAAGGAUUGCUGUCUACUAGAUAUUAUGUAUACUCUUCAGACUUUGUUCAUGUCCCUGAAUAAUAUCUGCAUGAACCUCUUGAAUAUUGCUAAAAUAGAGAAACUACCUUAUUUAAGAAUUCUGUGUUAAUUGCAUGAACAUUAAACAAAUAUAUAUUUAUUUUACUGUUUUUUGUUUUGUUUUCCAAAGCACCUAAAAGCCAAUUCACACUGCCAUACACCAACAGGGUGAACACA